GCGGAGGAAAAGAAACCAACAGGGAUUGCCCUAGUAACGGCGAGUGAAGCGGCAACAGCUCAAAUUUGAAAUCUGGCGUCUUCGGCGUCCGAGUUGUAAUUUGCAGAGGGCGCUUUGGCAUUGGCAGCGGUCCAAGUUCCUUGGAACAGGACGUCACAGAGGGUGAGAAUCCCGUACGUGGUCGCUAGCCUUUACCGUGUAAAGCCCCUUCGACGAGUCGAGUUGUUUGGGAAUGCAGCUCUAAAUGGGAGGUAAAUUUCUUCUAAAGCUAAAUACUGGCCAGAGACCGAUAGCGCACAAGUAGAGUGAUCGAAAGAUGAAAAGCACUUUGGAAAGAGAGUUAAAAAGCACGUGAAAUUGUUGAAAGGGAAGCGCUUGCAGCCAGACUUGCCUGUAGUUGCUCAUCCGGGUUUCUACCCGGUGCACUCUUCUAUAGGCAGGCCAGCAUCAGUUUGGGCGGUUGGAUAAAGGUCUCUGUCAUGUACCUCUCUUCGGGGAGAACUUAUAGGGGAGACGACAUGCAACCAGCCCGGACUGAGGUCCGCGCAUCUGCUAGGAUGCUGGCGUAAUGGCUGUAAGCGGCCCGUCUUGAAACACGGACCAAGGAGUCUAACAUCUAUGCGAGUGUUUGGGUGUCAAGCCCGAGCGCGUAAUGAAAGUGAACGGAGGUGGGAACCUUUCGGGGUGCACCAUCGACCGAUCCUGAUGUCUUCGGAUGGAUUUGAGUAAGAGCAUAGCUGUUGGGACCCGAAAGAUGGUGAACUAUGCUUGAAUAGGGUGAAGCCAGAGGAAACUCUGGUGGAGGCUCGCAGCGGUUCUGACGUGCAAAUCGAUCGUCAAAUUUGGGCAUAGGGGCGAAAGACUAAUCGAACUAUCUAGUAGCUGGUUCUGC
rnacentral:sRNA from 1 species